rnacentral:rRNA from 1 species
AUUUAGAGGAAGGAGAAGUCGUAACAAGGUUUCCGUAGGUGAACCUGCGGAAGGAUCAUUGUCGUAACCUGCCAUGCAGAACAACCCGCGAACAUGUUUAUUAAUCUCUUGGCGCGUUUGUGGCCCUUCGGGGAGACAAACUCGCCUUGUGUUGGGGGCCCCCGACUUUAAAACAAAMUCGGGCGCGGUAUGCGCCAAGGAAACAAUAAAAGAUCGAGCCGCAACCUCGAGGCAAGGACCUUGGCGUGUUGCGGUCGGUCGCUAAAAUGAAAUGUCGUAACGACUCUCGGCAACGGAUAUCUCGGCUCUCGCAUCGAUGAAGAACGUAGCGAAAUGCGAUACUUGGUGUGAAUUGCAGAAUCCCGUGAACCAUCGAGUCUUUGAACGCAAGUUGCGCCCGAAGCCGUUAGGCCGAGGGCACGUCUGCCUGGGCGUCACGCACCGUCGCCCCCUCCCCAAACCAGUCUUUUUGACGGGAUUGGGUGGGGCGGAUAUUGGCCUCCCGUGCGAAUGCGUGCGGCUGGCCCAAAAUCGAGUCCCCGGCUUUGUUUGCCGCGACAUUCGGUGGUUGUCGAUCUUUCGGUGCCCUGUCGCGCGCAAAGUAGCUUAGCCGAGGGACUGUGAGCAAAGACCCUAACGCGCGCUUUGAUGGACCCAUUGAGGCGCCCUCGACGCGACCCCAGGUCAGGCGGGGCUACCCGCUGAGUUUA